AUCGUUAACUAAGACAUAAAAGCACAAUAAAACACUACUCAUUGUCAUAAAUUCGAUCUAGACUGAAUUCGUCAUAAGCACCUAGUUACCUAUAAGAUAUGACUACUACUAUUAGUCUAUAAGGGAAAGACGUACAUGAGUAAACUGACUGGAACCGUAAAGUGGUUCAACGAUGAUAAAGGCUUUGGUUUUAUUUCUGCUGCCGAUGGUAAAGAUGUAUUUGUUCACUUCAGUGCUAUUCAAGCACAAGGACGUAAAACUUUACGUGAAGGCCAAAAUGUUGAAUUUAUCGUAACUGAUGGUCAGAAAGGCCCGCAAGCUAGCGACGUUAUCACGCUAUAACUGCGCUAACGCCAAAAACAAAAAAAACGCCGCAAUCAUCACGAUUGCGGCGUUUUA
rnacentral:other from 1 species